UACGUAGGGGGCAAGCGUUGUCCGGAUUUAUUGGGCGUAAAGAGCGUGUAGGCGGCCUUACAGGUCAGCUGUGAAAACUCGAGGCUCAACCUCGAGACGUCGGUUGAAACCGUAUGGCUAGAGUCCGGAAGAGGAGAGUGGAAUUCCCGGUGUAGCGGUGAAAUGCGCAGAUAUCGGGAAGAACACCUAUGGCGAAGGCAGCUCUCUGGGACGGUACUGACGCUGAGACGCGAAAGCGUGGGGAGCGAACAGG
rnacentral:rRNA from 1 species